rnacentral:rRNA from 1 species
GACGAACGCUGGCGGCGUGCCUAAUACAUGCAAGUUGAGCGCUGAAGGUUGGUACUUGUACCAACUGGAUGAGCAGCGAACGGGUGAGUAACGCGUGGGGAAUCUGCCUUUGAGCGGGGGACAACAUUUGGAAACGAAUGCUAAUACCGCAUAAGAACUUUAAACACAAGUUUUAAGUUUGAAAGAUGCAAUUGCAUCACUCAAAGAUGAUCUCGCGUUGUAUUAGCUAGUUGGUGAGGUAAAGGCUCACCAAGGCGAUGAUACAUAGCCGAACUGAGAGGGUGAUCGGCCACACUGGGACUGAGACCCGCCCCAAACUCAUACGGGAGGCAGCAGUAGGGAAUCGUCGGCAAUGGACGAAAGUCUGACCGAGCAACGCCGAGUGAGUGAAGAAGGUUGUCGGAUCGGAAAACUCUGUUGGUAGAGAAGAACGUUGGUGAGAGUGGAAAGCUCCUCAAGUGACGGUAACUACCCAGAAAGGGACGGCUAACUACGUG